UUGGGCUUGCAUUUGGUUCAUUCUCUGCCAUGGGAGUGGGAGAAAGCGAGGCCUUGAGAUAUCCAGUACAUGUUUAUCCAGCUGCAGUAGCUUGAUUCUCAAAUUUUGCAUUCCUGACUGAGCAGCCACAGUACUCGAAGCAUGGAGAGCAGCGCGAGUCAAUCCAGGCUGACUGCGGUGGAAAAAAAAUGUACCAAAACCAUGGGCUCCCAGAACAGACUGUUCAAUGCUAAUUUUAAAUCUUGAAAAACAGUA